rnacentral:lncRNA from 1 species
CAACAAACCGUACAGAAACGCUAGCUUUCGGUGCGCAAGCAAAAGGGGUGGGGAUGAACGCUGGAGUACGCAAGUUAAGAACGAAUACGCACGCAUCGGAAUUACGACAGACAGAGAGUAUAAUGAUGAGCUCAUAGUGCAAUGGGUUAAGCUUUUAACAAGAAAAUGAAGAAAAGAUACGUUCGCACGCGUGUAUGUACGAAUAUGCAAAACUUCAAAGUUAUACUGUUGGUUAGAGAGAGAUUUUAUUUUGUCGUCAAUUUGUUCGAAGACAUUUCAACCUUUAUCCGAUGGUUAUUAAUAUCGUUGAUUAAGAAAAAAAAAAGCAAGAAAUAAUGAACUUGUGAUACUUUUUUUCCCGUUUAUUCGAACGUUGAAAAAAUAAAACGUGGAACGUUGAAAAAUCGUUUUAACCGGGAUUAAAGAGUUGCUUAUUCGUGCAUGCGCAACUAUGCUCGCACUAAAGCCGCACGCGUUACCGCGUGAUCGCGCCCACACACGUAAACGUAUGCGUUGCUGCAAAACGACGUCCUUUUUUUUGUACACCGAUAUGUAUGAGAACGUAUAUGUAGAUAUAUAUAUAUAUAUGUACGUACAUAAGAAUAUAUGUAUAUAUAAUGAACGUAAAGACUCUCCGGGUUACAUGGGCAACGGUUUUACGUGUGGCGCCAUCUUAGAUAAAACUAGAACUCAAAUGUUCA